rnacentral:rRNA from 1 species
UACAGAGGGUGCUAGCGUUGUUCGGAAUCAUUGGGCGUAAAGCGCGUGUAGGCGGCUAGGCAAGUCGGUUGUGAAAGCCCGGGGCCCAACCCCGGAACUGCAUCUGAAACUGCCUGGCUAGAGUCCCGGAGAGGAAGGCAGAAUUCCCGGUGUAGGGGUGAAAUCCGUAGAUAUCGGGAGGAAUACCAGCGGCGAAGGCGGCCUUCUGGACGGUGACUGACGCUGAGACGCGAAAGCGUGGGGAGCAAACAGG